rnacentral:tRNA from 1 species
GGUCGCUUAGCUCAGUUGGUUAGAGCGUGGUGCUAAUAUACGAGUUAACUCGCAUACGCCAAGGUCGCGAGUUCGACCCUCGUAGUGACCA